CAGAAAUAUACAUCCUGUGAUUUGAACUUGUGUGUAUUUACGGAGAUUAGAUAUAAAUCAAAUUGAUCAAAUAAAUUCCACUCACAUCCAAAUCCGCCAGAUGUGUUCAAAUCAUUGCAACACAGACACAGGAACAAUGUGUAUAGAUUUUUUUUCUCUGCUUUUAAUAUAUAUAUUUUUUUAAACAAAAAAAAUAAAUAACUGAUUAAAUCAAAUGUACAAUAGACAUUAUGCAAUCAUUAUGCACUUUUAACUACUUCUUCUGGUCCGCUCUGCACAGCUGUCACCGAAAAACAGAAGCACAAUGAGGGGAGAGUGGGGUCAUGGCACCGGGAGAAUAGGGUAAGGUGGGGCUGCAAGGGUAGGCUAGGACAGGGUUAGUUGGGCUGGUGAGGUAGGCUAGGACAGGGUUAGUUGGGCUGGUGAGGUAGGCUAGGAGGGGUUAAGUUGGGCUGGUGAGGAGGGGGUAAGUUGGGCUGGUGAGGUAGGUGAGGGGGGUUAAGUUGGGCUGGUGAGGUAGGUGAUGGAGGGGUUAAGUUGGCUGGGUGAGGAGGGGGUAAGUUGGGCUGGUAGGGUAGGUAAGGAGGGGGGUAAGUUGGGCUGGUGAGGUAGGUGAGGAGGGGGUAAGUUGGGCUGGUGGGAGGGGGUAAGUUGGGCUGGUGAGGUAGGUGAGGAGGGUAAGUUGGGCUGGGGAGGAGGGGGUUAAGUUGGGCUGGUAGGGUGGUGGGGGGGGGAGGGGGUAAGUUGGGCUGGUGAAAGGGGGUAAGUUGGGCUGGUGAGGAGGGAUCAGUUGGGCUGGUAGGGUAGGUGGGAGGGGGUAAGUUGGGCUGGUGAGGGGGGGUAAGUGGGCUGGUGAGGUAGGUGAGGAGGGGGUAGUUGGGCUGGUGAGGUAGGUGAGGAGGGGUAGUUGGGCUGGUGAGGUAGGUGAGGAGGGGGUAGUUGGGCUGGUGAGGUAGGUGAGGAGGGGUAGUUGGGGUGAGUAUGGUGAGGGGGGGUAGUUGGGCUGGUGAGGAGGGAAUCAGUUGGGCUGGUAGGGUAGGUGAGGAGGGGGUGGUUGGUAGUUGGGCUGGUGAGGAGGGAAUCGGUAGGGUAGUGAGGGGGGGGUGGUAGUUGGGCUUGGUGAGGUGGUGAGGAGGGGGUAGUUGGGCUGGUGAGGGGGAUAUUGGGCUGUGGUAGGUGAGGAGGGGGUAGUUGGCUGGUGAGGUAGGUGGGGAGGGGUAGUUGGGCUGGU
rnacentral:lncRNA from 1 species